AGUAACCGAAAAUCACACCGGGGCUGAGGGUUGGGUUUGUGAUCAAGCGCACAUCACCGCCGCCUGGGGCCCAGGUGUCGUAAACGCCACCAAAGAACAUUGCCUUAAACACCAGCAGCAAUGCACCCACUCCAAGCAGGAUUAGGUGGUAGCCAAUGAUGUUGGUCAUCUGGUUUUUAUCGCGCCA
rnacentral:antisense_RNA from 1 species